UGCAAGUCGAGCGCACCUUCGGGUGAGCGGCGGACGGGUUAGUAACGCGUGGGAAUAUGCCCAGAUCUACGGAAUAGCCUCGGGAAACUGAGAGUAAUACCGUAUACGCCCUUCGGGGGAAAGAUUUAUCGGAUUUGGAUUAGCCCGCGUUGGAUUAGGUAGUUGGUGGGGUAAUGGCCUACCAAGCCGACGAUCCAUAGCUGGUUUGAGAGGAUGAUCAGCAACACUGGGACUGAGACACGGCCCAGACUCCUACGGGAGGCAGCAGUGGGGAAUCUUAGACAAUGGGGGAAACCCUGAUCUAGCCAUGCCGCGUGAGUGACGAAGGCCCUAGGGUCGUAAAGCUCUUUCGCCAGGGAAGAUAAUGACGGUACCUGGUAAAGAAACCCCGGCUAACUCCGUGCCAGCAGCCGCGGUAAUACGGAGGGGGUUAGCGUUGUUCGGAAUUACUGGGCGUAAAGCGCGCGUAGGCGGACUUUUAAGUUAGAGGUGAAAUCCCAGGGCUCAACCCUGGAACUGCCUUUAAUACUGGAAGUCUUGAGUUCGAGAGAGGUGAGUGGAAUUCCGAGUGUAGAGGUGAAAUUCGUAGAUAUUCGGAGGAACACCAGUGGCGAGGGCGGCUCACUGGCUCGAUACUGACGCUGAGGUGCGAAAGUGUGGGGAGCAAACAGGAUUAGAUACCCUGGUAGUCCACACCGUAAACGAUGAAUGCCAGACGU
rnacentral:rRNA from 1 species